UAAUUUAUAUUUUAAUUAAGAUUAUUAGAAAUUUAUUUUUUAGUUAUGAUUGGGGUGAUUUUUAAAGAUUAUUAAUCUUUAAAAUUUUUUAAUAAAAAAGUUCCAUUAGUUUACGUUUUUUGAUAAAAAUACUCUAGGGAUAACAGCGUUAUUAUUUUGGAUAGUUCAUAUAGAUAAAAUAGUUUGCGACCUCGAUGUUGGAUCUAGAGAUUCUUUUAUGGAUGAAGAAGUUAUAAGGGAGAAGUUUGCUCAACUUUUAAAGUCCUACUUGAUCUGAGUUCAGACCGGG
rnacentral:rRNA from 1 species